rnacentral:rRNA from 1 species
UACGUAGGGUGCGAGCGUUAAUGGGAUUUACUGGGCGUAAAGCGUGCGCAGGCGGCCCGUUAAGACAGGUGUGAAAUCCCUGGGCUCAACCUAGGAAUUGCGCUUGUGACUGGCGGGCUCGAGUACGGUAGAGGGGGGUGGAAUUCCUGGUGUAGCAGUGAAAUGCGUAGAGAUCAGGAGGAACACCGAUGGCGAAGGCAGCCCCCUGGGCCUGUACUGACGCUCAUGCACGAAAGCGUGGGGAGCAAACAGG